rnacentral:rRNA from 1 species
UACGUAGGGUGCGAGCGUUUAAUCGGAAUUACUGGGCGUAAAGCGUGCGCAGGCGGUUUUGUAAGCCAGAUGUGAAAUCCCCGGGCUCAACCUGGGAAUGGCAUUUGGGACUGCAAGGCUGGAGUACGGCAGAGGAGACGUGGAAUUCCUGGUGUAGCAGUGAAAUGCGUAGAGAUCAGGAGGAAUACCGAUGGCGGAAAG